UUCCAUCCAGUGUCAGCGACUACCCCCCUAUUUCUGUGUUUGGAGAGGCCCAAGAUAAAUCUCUGGUUUGCCAUCUGUAACAGAUGCACAGCCAUUAAACUGUUUUUGGUGACUACCUGUUGAAGACAUGCUCCUCCACCUUUCCUUGUGCAGUGUAACACAAGAAGCCUGCUCGCUGCAGACCUCAUCUUACCGUUGCCUAUGCCACAGCUCACCACAGAUGCACGCUGCUGGUACGGAACUUAGCAGCAACGUGCUUGUCAUCUUCCAGCCCACUGAAAUGUGCCCAUCCAUUCGCUUUCUUCAUUUUUCUGCCAAGCACUUUCUAAUCUGUGACGCGACUGUAUUCUAAUACUAUCAUGACCUCACUCCUGUGCACUUUUGACAGAGGUGGGUGCCAGGUUCUCUUCCCUCUGUAAAUCCUUCACUUCAUCAGAUGGACUCUGAAAGUCUGUUGACUAAAUUUUGCUUCGACCCGCUGCUUUUGGUUUAUGGGAAGGGGAAAGUCUCCUGGUGGAGGAAAGCUUGGGUCUGGGGUGUGUUGGGCUGCUCUAGCAUAGGGUCAUCACUUGGAUCUUUUAUAAAACCAUUUUAGUGAUCACUUCCCAAGAAAGUUUGCAGUUUAACAUUUCCCAGCAUCACGCAAAGAUGAAGCAGAUCCAAUUUUUCCUUCUUGUAGAACGGUUGCUGAUACAGUUUUAAGUAUCACCCCUCUCUUCUUGGGUUCCCUGUGACUAUAGACCCUCUGAGUGGGGUUUUCUCGGCUUUGUCCCAUGACAGUUUAUAUGCUUGUGGGCACUAAGGGGGCUUGGUCCCUGUCCCCAGCCGGAGUCCCUGGGGAGGUUCCUGGGGCCUUUCUGGGUUUGAACCCAUCUCUACCCAGCUCGUUUGGGACAAGGGUGACUCUUCUUUGCAAAGCCAGUCCUCAGGAGGGCACGGAGAGGUAAUGCAAAACAUCCUCCAGCAAAACUGCGCUUUGCCUCUGGUGCAGGCAGAGCUGGGGGAGCGUGUGGCUGGCUUUCACUUCCCAACGCAUGUGAAAGGACUUGCCUGUGUGUGUCGGUACCUGCACGAGCUGGGUGCAGCUCCUGCAGCACCCACCGCUUCUUGCAGGUGAAGGCAAAGAGGGAGACACCGAGCUGGGCGGGGGGGCAUGAUGCUGCCAACCCCCACGGGGGGGGAUGUUCUGCCUCAUUCCAGGAUCCGUGUCCCUGACGGAGGGUAUGGAGAAGCUGGAGAGGAGGGUCCAGAGGGACCAGGGAUGGGCACGGCUUGUGAGGCGAGCUGUGAGGAGGCACGCUGAGCUCUGCGCAGGGUUGUCACGGUCCAGCUGAAGGACCUGGGGAAAGUCACCCUGGGUGUUGCAACAUCCCCACCCGCCCCGGCCUCGUCAGCAGCCUUUUGGGAAAUAACCGUGACCCAGGGUGCUCUCCUAGCCUGAGCUAUUCAGCAGCGUGGCAAAGCAGAGGGUUUGGGGUGUGCUUGCAGAUGUAUCGAGUUAUUUUUUUGCUGCUCUGUAAAAAAAGACCGGGGGGGGGGGGAAGGAAGUGAUACUCUUGCAAUCAGCACGGUGUGUGAUAAAGAUUUAUUACAGGUAGAAAGCAAAUAAAGGUAUGGUAGGAACUUCUUUAUUACCCAUAUCAUGAUUGCUUAUGUGAUCAGUGACCUGGAAUACAUUCAAAUUCAUGUUAAAUAAAAGCCUAAUAGAA